rnacentral:rRNA from 1 species
GACGAACCGUGCGAACGUUAUUCGGAAUCACUGGGCUUAAAGCGCGUGUAGGCGGGACGGCACGUCGGUCGCUGAAAUCCCCCGGCUCAACCGGGGAACGGGCGCCGAUACGACCGCCCUGGAGGGGCGUAGGGGGACCUGGAACUUCCGGUGGAGCGGUGAAAUGCGUUGAGAUCGGAAGGAACGCCCGUGGCGAAAGCGAGGUCCUGGACGCUUACUGACGCUGAGACGCGAAAGCCAGGUGAGCGAACGGG